rnacentral:rRNA from 1 species
GACAGAGGAUGCAAGCGUUAUCCGGAAUGAUUGGGCGUAAAGCGUCUGUAGGUGGCUUUUUAAGUCCGCCGUCAAAUCCCAGGGCUCAACCCUGGACAGGCGGUGGAAACUACCAAGCUGGAGUACGGUAGGGGCAGAGGGAAUUUCCGGGUGGAGCGGUGAAAUGCGCAGAUAUCAGGAGGAACACCAACAGCGAAAGGCAGAUCUCUGGGACGUUACUGAGCUGAGACGCGAAAGCGUGGGGGAGCAAAACAGG